GUGGGGAAUAUUGGACAAUGGGCGAAAGCCUGAUCCAGCCAUGCCGCGUGUGUGAAGAAGGUCUUCGGAUUGUAAAGCACUUUAAGUUGGGAGGAAGGGCAGUAAGUUAAUACCUUGCUGUUUUGACGUUACCGACAGAAUAAGCACCGGCUAACUUCGUGCCAGCAGCCGCGGUAAUACGAAGGGUGCAAGCGUUAAUCGGAAUUACUGGGCGUAAAGCGCGCGUAGGUGGUUUUGUAAGUUGGAGGUGAAAUCCCCGGGCUCAACCUGGGAACUGCCUCCAAAGCUGCAUGACUAGAGUACGGUAGAGGGUAGUGGAAUGUCCUGUGUAGCGGUGAAAUGCGUAGAUAUAGGAAGGAACACCAGUGGCGAAGGCGACUACCUGGACUGAUACUGACACUGAGGUGCGAAAGCGUGGGGAGCAAACAGGAUUAGAUACCCGUGUAGUCC
rnacentral:rRNA from 1 species